UGUCCCUUACCCCCGGCACGGCCUACCCGCUGAGGUGGCAUCGGUUUUGAUCUGAAUGUGCUUCUGUGAGCUUCGUUCUUGGCGAGACUGAAGACUUUGGAGAGCACGCCGAGGUUCUGCAUGCAACUGGGAUCUGAAAGUCAGCACCUCCACGACAGCCUGGUGAUUCCUCCUCCACAUCUGUCAGUUAACAGCAGCGUUUUCGGCUGGGACAGCAGGAUUGCUUCAUUCCAACCAU